CAUCUCUGGGACCACUGACCCAAUUCAAGAGAAAAAUUGUGCAUGCAUGAAAGACUAAUAACCUCAUUUUAAUACAAAACAGAGAUGGGCUGUGGCAGGAGAGGCCGGCUGGCUUCAGAAAUUCCACAAUACACAGGAUGGCUCCCAGACCCAAGCAGGCACCAGUGCCAAGUCGGGCUCGUUUGACAGGUCCAAGUGGCUCCUGCAUCCUGCCAUCAAGAACCGGGGCAGGCUCCUGUGGCUGAGAAUCGCCGGCUGGCUCCUGAAAUUCAACAACAUGGAGGAUGGUUCCCAGACCCAAGGUGGCACCAAUGACAAGUCAGGCUGAUUUGACAGUGCCAAGUGUUUCCUGCAAUCUGCUUUAAAGG